UAAAUAUUUAUUCUGUACAAGGCGCAAAUCUUAACAUAAAUAUGUAUCUUUUUAAUAAUUUUGAAUCUUAAACAUUUUCUAAAUCUCAGACUAAAAUAAAAGAAAAAAACGAGAAUAAAUAUUUGCCACAGAUUUGGCAAGUAGGACGAUUGUCAGCUGUAUUCUGAGGACAUUGAGCGCUCUGACCAAACAGCUGAGGAAAGCCACGACCACGGUAUCUUCCUAUGUAUCGUCCUCUUCCACGACCAGAAUAACAACCAUGAUUUGUGUAAAACGCUUGGUGAGGAGUAACAUCAACGGGAGGCUGAUAGGACUGCAGCUUGUCUUCAAAUCCAGUUAACUUGUACACAAUAUCUUCGAAGCAGGGUGCUGAUAGGAUUGUUAUCCCUAGCAUGUUCUAUCACAGCACACACUAAUUCAUACUCUUUUCCCAAACCGUUGAGUACACCAUAGAUCUUCUCGUGUUCAGUGAUGGGAGCUCUAAUAGAGUCCAGUUGAUCACAAAGAGAUUUGAUCUCCGAGAGCUAGAGCGAGCCAAACCUCUUGAGAAGAAUGAAGUCCAUAGAAUGACUUGAGUGCAUCUUCUGUUAGCGUACUAUAGAUCCAGGCGAUAAUCAACUGAUCUUUUUGUAACCACUUCGUAAACUCAGGGUUUGCUGCUGCUGUUACUUCAUCAACAUUACGCACGGUUGUUGUCUCAGGCGGUCUCGGUUGCACCGGUGACGUAGCCCAGAAGCAUAUGACUUGACAGGAACUGCUCGAACUGAAGCUUCCAUAGGGGGUAGUUGCCUUCUUUGAACUUCAAGAUCACAACUUGAGUAAUCGUAAGAGCUGUGACAGGAACGUGAUUUUGAAUUCCAUCAAUGACAAAACCUUGAUUUCCAUCCAUGACUAAGCCGCAGGUUCUACUCCCUGAGCUCGUGAUACCAUGAAGAUAUAAGAAUAGUCUAUAUCCUUUGCUCUGAUUCAUCAAGCUGCCAGCUCAGUUGGUCUGAUCCUCUAGCGCCCCAAACCUAUUGCUGAGCUGCAGGCUUGGGCUCCAUAUGUCUUGAGAUUAUAUGGGCUUGAAUCUUAUGUGAGUUACUAGGCUUCAUACUGACUUCAUGUCAAUAAAAUAUGCAUAAAACUUAUAUUUUUCUAAUAUAUGCAAUUUUUAAACGCUAAAAUAGACUUGUAAAAAUGUUUCAAAAUCAGUUCAUUGUAGUUAACUUAAAAAUAUCCCACCUGACUCAUUCGUAAGGAAAUAAAAUCUUGAAUCAUGGACUGGAAUUCAAAUUCCAAAUAAAUUAUUUGAAAUUUAAGUAAAGACAAAAAAAAAAAGUGGAAAAGUGAAUGAGUCCAAAGCAGGAAAGUCUAAAACAAAGACUUGUACAAAUAGGAAACCAAAAGUGCAGAACGAGAGUUGAAGCACUUUGAA